rnacentral:rRNA from 1 species
ACGCUGGCGGCAGGCCUAACACAUGCAAGUCGAGCGGUAGCACAGGAGAGCUUGCUCUCUGGGUGACGAGCGGCGGACGGGUGAGUAAUGUCUGGGAAACUGCCUGAUGGAGGGGGAUAACCACUGGAAACGGUAGCUAAUACCGCAUGACCUCGCAAGAGCAAAGUGGGGGACCUUCGGGCCUCACGCCAUCGGAUGUGCCCAGAUGGGAUUAGCUAGUAGGUGGGGUAAUGGCUCACCUAGGCGACGAUCCCUAGCUGGUCUGAGAGGAUGACCAGCCACACUGGAACUGAGACACGGUCCAGACUCCUACGGGAGGCAGCAGUGGGGAAUAUUGCACAAUGGGCGCAAGCCUGAUGCAGCCAUGCCGCGUGUGUGAAGAAGGCCUUAGGGUUGUAAAGCACUUUCAGCGAGGAGGAAGGCGUUGUAGUUAAUAGCUGCAACGAUUGACGUUACUCGCAGAAGAAGCACCGGCUAACUCCGUGCCAGCAGCCGCGGUAAUACGGAGGGUGCAAGCGUUAAUCGGAAUUACUGGGCGUAAAGCGCACGCAGGCGGUUUGUUAAGUCAGAUGUGAAAUCCCCGAGCUUAACUUGGGAACUGCAUUUGAAACUGGCAAGCUAGAGUCUUGUAGAGGGGGGUAGAAUUCCAGGUGUAGCGGUGAAAUGCGUAGAGAUCUGGAGGAAUACCGGUGGCGAAGGCGACCACCUGGACUGAUACUGACACUGAGGUGCGAAAGCGUGGGGAGCAAAC